rnacentral:lncRNA from 1 species
AGGCUGGCUUUCUCCUUCUCCUUAGCUCUGGAUCUUUCCCUGGAUCCCCUGACCCCGUGACAUCUUCUGAGGCAAGGAGCCCAUUGGAGGUUGAAAUAGGAUCUGGAUAAAUGUCCUGGCUGCUGACAUCACGCCCCUACAGCCUCCCUUCUGUGGCAUAAUGACCCAAGCACCACCUAUGGGAAUCAAGUGACUGAGAGAAUUUCAGCUCCUCUUAGAAAACAUACAUAAGCCCUGUAGAAUGGAAGAGGAACUCUGAAACAGGAACCUAAACAUUCAUGCCAGAAGGAAGUGCCAGGUACUGUAUUCAGAAUACAUCACAUUUGUAAUCUCUUUAGCAUCUAAAGAGAGGAGGCAGACCAAGGAGGAGCAAAAGUACCUACAUUGUGCUGAUGAUAAGCUGAAACAUCGAGAUCAAGAAUGAACUUGUAAAUAAUUGCAUUAUGUAGUGGUACAAGUGGAAAAUGAACCCACAUGCCUUGAAUUCCAGGCUGCUUAAUAAACCACUGUAGCAUCUUCCUCUAACA